rnacentral:rRNA from 1 species
AGUGAACGCUGGCGGUAGGCCUAACACAUGCAAGUCGAACGGCAGCACAGUAAGAGCUUGCUCUUACGUGUGGCGAGUGUCGGUCGGGUGAGGAUUACCUCGGAAUCUCUUUUUUCGUGGUGGAUAACGUUGGGAAUCUUACGCUAUUACCGCUUACGCCCUACGGGUGAAAUCAGGGGAUCUUCGCACCUUGCGCGAUUGAAUGAGCCGAGGUCGGAUUAGCUAGUUUGCGGGGUCACGGCCCACCAAGGCGACGAUCCGUAGCUGGUCUGAGAGGAUGAUAAGCGACACUGGAAGUGAGACAGGGACAAGAGUACUACGGGAGGGAGCAGAGGGGAAUAUUGGACAAUGGGCGGAAGCCUGAUACAGCCAGACGGAGUGGGUGAAGAAGGCGUUCGGGUUGUGAAGACCGUUUGUUGGGAGAGAAAAGCAGCAGGUUAAUACGCAGCUGGUGUGACGGUACCGAAAGAAUAAGCACCGGCUAACUUCGUG